AUUGAACGCUGGCGGCAUGCUUUACACAUGCAAGUCGAACGGCAGCGGGGGCUUCGGCCUGCCGGCGAGUGGCGAACGGGUGAGUAAUGCAUCGGAACGUGCCCAGUCAUGGGGGAUAACUACGCGAAAGCGUAGCUAAUACCGCAUACGCCCUGAGGGGGAAAGCGGGGGAUCGCAAGACCUCGCGUGAUUGGAGCGGCCGAUGUCGGAUUAGCUAGUUGGUGGGGUAAAGGCCUACCAAGGCGACGAUCCGUAGCGGGUCUGAGAGGAUGAUCCGCCACACUGGGACUGAGACACGGCCCAGACUCCUACGGGAGGCAGCAGUGGGGGAAUAUUGCACAAUGGGGGAAACCCUGAUGCAGCCAUGCCGCGUGUGUGAAGAAGGCCUUCGGGUUGGUUAAAGACACUUUCAGCGAGGAGGAAAGGGU
rnacentral:rRNA from 1 species